GGUGCAGUGGAGAGCCGGCUGGGCCCUCCCCAGCUCCAGGCUCCUCCCCGGCGGGGUCAGAGCCAGACUUGCUGCGGCGUCCGGGCCCCGCGUAAUUACAGGGGCUGUAGCAGGCCUGGCCGUAAAAUAGGAGGAUGAAACGGCCUGGGAACCGGGAGCUGACACCCGCCCGCCAAGCCCUCUCCAGACGGCAGCAGAUCCUGGCGGGGAGAAGAGCCCCGAGAGGCAAAUUCCAGCGGGUUUGUUUACACAGCGCGGGGGAGGGGGCCGAGCCGGGUACUGGGGCCCGACUGACUGGGAGCCCCAGCUCAGACUGGGCCAGCCCCAGCUGUGCAGCCUGAGGACUGCGCACAAACACCCCUCCGCUCCACCCCACCCCCGCUGCACGCCGGUACGCGUCUCCCCUCCUCUUCACACACUGUUCACAAACAUUAGCAUACGUCUGUCAAAGAGUUUCACACGCUUUCACACACGCGGCUGUGAUACUACUCACAAAUGCUUUCACACUAGCGCGCCAUCACACGUAUUUCAUGUGUGGUUACAGUUUAAGUCACCCUUCAUGCCCAGAUUCUCACAGUCCAUAUUCAAGAGCCCGUUUGCACGGUGUACGCGUGUGUUGUCACACAUACUCAGGUCAUCAGUGCCCUUUAACGUAUCUAAGAACGGACCCCUCUCGAGCCCAGGGUCCCGCGUGUCGCUCCUGCGCGCAGGCACUGAUGGGAUGGACAGAGGCGCCCUUAGCCCCGGCCGCACACGUUACACACUCGAUCACACACAGCGUUGCACUUUAUUCCCGGCAUCUAGGCGAUGACACAAUCUCCAGAACAAAGACAACAUUGACAAACCCAACAAAAACAAA